rnacentral:lncRNA from 1 species
GUAAUGAGGUCUGUUGGGCAAAAUUCCAUAUAAGCAAAGUAUAAAUUAAUAAAGCAAAUGGUGAUAAAUUAGUACGAUUGACUUUCUGGAGUUUCUGACAAUAAAAGUAAGGAAAAUGCAAAACACAAAGACAGAGAGUAAAAAGAGAAAUUAGGAAAGCAUUCUACAUGUUUAAUAGGAAGACACUGGCCAUGUUCGUGCAGCGGCAGUAUGUCAUGAUAUGACAUACCUUGGAGAGAAGUUAACAGAUGAGGAAGUUGAUAAAAAUGAUCAGAGAAGCAAAAUACUGGUAGCGACACUCAAGUAAACCACGAAAUUUCCAUAACUUAUGUCAGCA